rnacentral:rRNA from 1 species
GGCUCAGAUUGAACGCUGGCGGCAUGCCCUACACAUGCAAGUCGAACGGCAGCACGGGUGCUUGCACCUGGUGGCGAGUGGCGAACGGGUGAGUAAUAUAUCGGAACGUACCUUAUCGUGGGGGAUAACGCAGCGAAAGCUGCGCUAAUACCGCAUACGCCCUGAGGGGGAAAGCGGGGGACCGUAAGGCCUCGCGCGAUUAGAGCGGCCGAUAUCUGAUUAGCUUGUUGGUGGGGUAAAAGCCCACCAAGGCGACGAUCAGUAGCUGGUCUGAGAGGACGACCAGCCACACUGGAACUGAGACACGGUCCAGACUCCUACGGGAGGCAGCAGUGGGGAAUUUUGGACAAUGGACGCAAGUCUGAUCCAGCCAUUCCGCGUGCAGGAUGAAGGCCCUCGGGUUGUAAACUGCUUUUGUACGGAACGAAAAGGUUUCUAUUAAUACUAGGAGCUCAUGACGGUACCGUAAGAAUAAGCACCGGCUAACUACGUG